rfam:Amphimedon queenslandica AMPQTscaffold_13440_Cont2525, whole genome shotgun sequence.
UUAUAGGCUGUAAUAACAGCCACAUAUAUUUUAAAUUUUAAGCAAU